AGUGACUUCGCCGCUGCUGUAGUUCCCCGGCUGGAUGCGGUGACUGGUGCCAGUGCUCAGGCGCCCGCUGCCCUUGACCUCCCGCCCCGCGAGCCCUAACUCAGCGCAGGAGGACCGGCUGCCGCCGCCGCCGCCGCCAGGAGGUAGAUUGGGAAGUGGAGCUGGCCGUGGUCAUUGGAAAGAAAGGCAAGCACAUCAAGGUGAAGUGGAAAAGAUCCACACAACUUAAAGAUCUGCUGUCGAGUGAAUGGGGAAGUGGUCCAGAGCAGCAACACCAACCAGAUGGUAUUCAAGACAGAGGACCUGAUAGCCUGGGUGUCCCAGUGAGUGACAGGGGCUAUCCUGCCAGCCCCGCUCCACCUGCCACACAUGUGGAGGCUGACCUGAGCCCUCCACCUUUGGCUGUGGCCACCUCAGCCAGCCCCUGGUCUCACCGGGUCCUUUUGCUUUGCUCCAGGUUUGUUACCUUUUACCCAGGGGAUGUCAUCCUGACUGGGACCCCCCCACCUCCACCCAGGUGUCGGUGUAUUCAGGAAACCUCCUGUCUUUCUCAAGGUCUCUGAAGGUCCAGACAGCACUGAUGGCGAGCUUUGGGUCCGCACACUCUGGAAAGAAGAGAGAAGUGAAGGCUCUAGGUAGGGAGAACAGAGAGCCACUGGGCACAGGCUUCUCUCCUCUUGUUUAAAGAAGCCCAGGGAGGGAUAGAGCUCUGACUGGACAGAAGACUGUACUCUGCAGCCUGCCUUCCUAGAGUUGGGUUGUCACUGUCCUGCAGGGGGCAGCAGCCACCAGCAAACACCACUGCCUGCAGGAGCCUGGGCUGACUGGUUGGGACUCACCGAAGAUCCCUUCUUCCUGGGCGGUGGCCUGCAGGAACUGGAACAGCUGCUCUGUGUAGCCCAACUCUGCAGAAGAGAGAAGACCUAGACCUGGCACCCAGCACAGACACAGCCUGCCUCGAGGACUGCAAGGGAACAAGGGCCUCACCAGUAUCGGGCAGCUGGCCCUGGCGGAGGAAGGCGGCAGCCUGUGCAAAGGCCUUGAGCAGCGGGCUGAGCAGGCGGCAGAGGAAAAGAAAGAAAUCUGGGCAGUGUGACUGCUGGCUGAGCUGGAGGGGACAGGCCGGGGUGAGUGCAGCUCCCCACCGCCUCCCUACCACCUCCCUCCAGGGGCAGCUUUUUGAAACACACCCUGAAGUACCGGCCGUCAGCCUCUCCGAAGUCAUCACUGUCACUAUCAGUAAAGUCCCCACUCGGUUUCCACAGCA
rnacentral:lncRNA from 1 species